GACGGAGAUAAAAAUACUUUUCGCAGCCCAAUCCGCCUGAUGAUAGCCCCUGCCAUUGCCAUGGCAACAGGAAGGAAGCAGAAUAGUCUCGGAGCUCAGUGGGACAGGCUGAACUGUGACAGAAACAAAGAGUGUGAGUGACUGUAGCCUCCUGAAAAGACAGUCUGGAUACGAACGCAGACCUGUUAAUUGUAAUAUAUAGAGGAUCGAGAAUUCCAGAAUACUUGACAGCCUCUCUUCAAGCCCGGACGGUCCUGUUACAUCCAAAUAAGCCACUUCUUGCCGCCUCCCCUCCAUCUAUCGGAAGAGACCUCCGACUUCGUAACCGUAAGGUUUGCCCUGCUGAUGCAGUUCAACAAAGAGCUAUUCGUAGUACGUCACACCUACACCUACCAGGUACCUGGCAGAAGUGCUGCGAUUGGCUGGCAACCAGUUCAGGGUGUACCCCGCCUCUUGCCCGAUGACAGCUGGGAUAGGCUCCAGCACGCCCGCGACCCUAGUGAGGAGAAGCGGCUCAGAAAAUGGAUGGAUGGAUGGAUUACAUAGAAGUGAACAGAAGUGACGUCAGCCCCAAAUGUGAAUGUUUUUAAGUACAGGUUAAAAUCUCUUCUUGUUUCUCAUGCUUUUUAGAGCAUUUCCACUUUUAAAUGAUAUUUCUUGAACUGUACGCGGUUUUAAUUGUACUUUGAUUUUUUUCUCUCUUUGUUUUAAAUGUUUACAAGCUGUUUUUUUCCCUUUGGUUUUAAAUGCUUUUAAUCAUGUAAAGCACAUUGCGUUACUUUGUGUAUGCAAUGUGCUAUAUAAAUAAAUUUGCUUUCAUUUUAACCAAUUCCAUUUUUAUACUGACUGGUUCUGGCUCGGUUGGUAAAGCGGGUUGUCCAGUGACCGAUGGGUCAGCAGUUUGAAUCCCAGCUCCAACUGCUGUCCAAGUGUCCUUGGGCAAGACACUGAACCCUAAUUUGCUCCCAGUGGGCCUGGCAGCGCCUUGCAUGGCAACAGCUGUCAAUUUGUGUAUGAAUAUGUGUCCGAAUUGCUCAGUAAAAUAUGUCUAA